GAUGAACGCUGGCGGCGUGCCUAAUACAUGCAAGUCGAGCGAACGGACGAUAAGCUUGCUUCUCUGAUGUUAGCGGCGGACGGGUGAGUAACACGUGGAUAACCUACCUAUAAGACUGGGAUAACUUCGGGAAACCGGAGCUAAUACCGGAUGAUAUUUUGAACCGCAUGGUUCAAAAGUGAAAGACGGUCUUGCUGUCACUUAUAGAUGGAUCCGCGCUGCAUUAGCUAGUUGGUAAGGUAAUGGCUUACCAAGGCAACGAUGCAUAGCCGACCUGAGAGGGUGAUCGGCCACACUGGAACUGAGACACGGUCCAGACUCCUACGGGAGGCAGCAGUAGGGAAUCUUCCGCAAAGGGCGAAAGCCUGACGGAGCAACGCCGCGUGAGUGAUGAAGGUCUUCGGAUCGUAAAACUCUGUUAUUAGGGAAGAACAUAUGUGUAAGUAACUGUGCACAUCUUGACGGUACCUAAUGAGAAAGCCACGGCUAACUACGUG
rnacentral:rRNA from 1 species